rnacentral:lncRNA from 1 species
CAACAAGGCCACCGAAGACAACUACCAGGCAAUACAGGAUUUCUUCUCCAAGUUCCUGCAGUUCAGGAAAAAUGAGUUUUACGUGACGGGUGAAAGCUUCGCCGGCGUCUUCGUUCCUCUCCUAACACAACGCCUUCUCCUCUCGAAUCCACUUGGAAUAAACUUGAAGGGUUACACCAUCGGAAACGGAGCGGUGGAUUUCGAGCUCUACAGCAAGGCGAUCCUCUUUUUCGCCUACUACCACGGCCUCUUCGGAGACGACCUCUGGAACGAGGUGACGUCAAAUUGCUGCAAUGGCACCGUCUCGAAGGAGACAUGCGACUUCGCCUGGAAUACCCAUGAUCCUGCCUGCGUUGAUCCGGUGAAAGCCGGCUACGACAUCGUUCUCAGGAGUGGCUUGAACGUGUACAACCUGUACGCGCCAUGCGGCACCACCAAACAACCACGGCAGCUUCUCUCGAGGCGUCACCCGGAGAUGA